rnacentral:rRNA from 1 species
CUACGGGGGGCAGCAGUGGGGAAUAUUGGACAAUGGGCGGAAGCCUGAUCCAGCAAUACCGCGUGUGUGAAGAAGGCCCGAGGGUUGUAAAGCACUUUCAAUGGGGAGGAAAAAGCGAAGGUUAAUACCCUUUGAAUUGACAUUACCCAUACAAGAAGCACCGGCUAACUCCGUGCCAGCAGCCGCGGUAAUCCGGAGGUUGCGAGCGUUAAUCGGAAUUACUGGGCGUAAAGCGUGCGUAGGCGGCCUGCCAAGCCAGAUGUGAAAGCCCCGGGCUCAACCUGGGAACGGCAUUUGGAACUGGUGAGCUGGAGUUAGGUAGAGGGGAGUGGAAUUUCAGGUGUAGCGGUGAAAUGCGUAGAUAUCUGAAGGAACACCAGUGGCGAAGGCGGCUCCCUGGACCCAAACUGACGCUGAGGUACGAAAGCGUGGGUAGCAAACAGGAUUAGAUACCCGCGUAGUC